UUGUAUGCCCAUCUGCGUUCCCUC
rnacentral:piRNA from 1 species